AGCCUGUAGAAUUUAUUAUAGGUGUAGCCUGCCCAAUGCAUUUGUAAAUGGCCGCAGAACUUUAACUGUGCUAAGGUAGCAUAAUCAUUUGUCUUUUAAAUGGAGACUGCAUGAAUGGCUUAAUGGGAUAAAGCUGUCUUAAUUAGGCUUUAUAGAAAUUAUUUAAUAGGUGAAAAUACCUAUAUUAUAAAAAAAGACGAGAAGACCCUAAGAGUUUAAAUUAAUAGAAAUCAUCUUUCUUAGAUUUUUGUUGGGGCAACAGAGGAGUUAUCCUCCUUUAAUAGACUAGAAAUAAUUUAGAAAGGAAAACACUACCUUAGGGAUAACAGCACAAUCUGUUGCGGGUUUGUGACCUCGAUGUUGGACUAGGUAUAGCUCUAUUCAGAAGAUAGAUGUUAAUGCUCUGUUCGAGCAAAUUUACCU
rnacentral:rRNA from 1 species